rnacentral:rRNA from 1 species
CCCUUAGACGUUCUGGGCCGCACGCGCGCUACACUGACCAGUGCAACAAGCAUCCGUCCUUGGCCGACAGGCCCGGGCAAUCUUUGAACGCUGGUCGUGAUGGGGAUAGACUUUUGCAAUUUUUGGUCUUCAACGAGUAAUUCCUAGUAAACGCAAGUCAUCAACUUGCAUUGAUUACGUCCCUGCCCUUUGUACACACCGCCCGUCGCACCUACCGAUUGAAUGGUCCGGUGAAGCCUCCGGAUUGGCGCGCACCUCGGUGCCGCCGAGAAGUUGGCUAAACCUUACCAUUUAGAGGAAGGUGAAGUCGUAACA